UUGGCGACCGGCGCACGGGUGAGUAACGCGUAUCCAACCUGCCCUUUACUAUGGGACAGCCCGUCGAAAGGCGGAUUAAUACCGUAUGUUGUCAUGUUGAUGCAUAUUUUCAUGACCAAAGGCUUCGGCCGGUAAAGGAUGGGGAUGCGUCUGAUUAGCUUGCCGGCGGGGUAACGGCCCACCGGGGCGGCGAUCAGUAGGGGUUCUGAGAGGAAGGUCCCCCACAUUGGAACUGAGACACGGUCCAAACUCCUACGGGAGGCAGCAG
rnacentral:rRNA from 1 species